UACGAAGGGGGCUAGCGUUGUUCGGAAUCACUGGGCGUAAAGGGCGCGUAGGCGGCUUUAUAAGUCGGGGGUGAAAGCCUGUGGCUCAACCACAGAAUUGCCUUCGAUACUGUAUGGCUUGAGACCGGAAGAGGUAAAUGGAACUGCGAGUGUAGAGGUGAAAUUCGUAGAUAUUCGCAAGAACACCAGUGGCGAAGGCGGACUUACUGGUCCG
rnacentral:rRNA from 1 species